rnacentral:rRNA from 1 species
UACGGGGGGGGCAAGCGUUGUUCGGAAUUACUGGGCGUAAAGGGCUUGUAGGUGGCCAACUAAGUCAGACGUGAAAUCCCUCGGCUUAACCGGGGAACUGCGUCUGAUACUGGAUGGCUUGAGUGUGGGAGAGGGAUGCGGAAUUCCAGGUGUAGCGGUGAAAUGCGCAGAUAUCAGGAGGAACACCGGUGGCGAAGGCGGAUCUCUGGGCCAUUACUGACGCUGAGGAGCGAAAGCGUGGGGAGCGAACAGG